AGAUGAAUAACAGUGUGAUUCUCCAUUGGCAGGGAAAUAUUAAGUGUUCAUGCCGGUUACAAUAUAUGAUAUCCCUGCCAAGGGAGAAUUGCCCUGCUAUUCACCC
rfam:Macleaya cordata isolate BLH2017 scaffold8439, whole genome shotgun sequence.